rnacentral:lncRNA from 1 species
AAGAAACUGUGGUACAUAUACACAAUAAAAUACUAUUCAGCCAUAAAAAAAGAGCGAGAUCCUGUCAUUAGCAACAAUAUAGAUGGAAGUGUAGGUGCUUAUGUUAACUGAAAUAAGCCUGACACAAAAAAACAAAGUUCACAUAUUCUCAUUUAUUUUGUAGGAGCUAAACAUUAAAACAAUUGAAUUCAUAGACAUAGGGAGUAGAAUCAUGGUUACCAGAAGCUGGGAAGGGUUAUGGGGGUUCAGGGAGAUUAGUCAAUGGGAACAAAAAUAUAGAUAGAUACAAUAAAUAAGAUCCAGUGUUUUAUAGCACAACAGCAUGACUAUAGUCAACAAGAAUUUACACAAAUCUGUGCACUUUAAAAUAACUAAGAGUAUAAUUGGAUUGUUUGUAACACAAAUAAAGGAUAAAUGUUCAAGGUGAUAGAUACUCCAUUUAUCCUGAUGUGAUUAUUACGCAUUGUAUGUCUGUAUCAAAAAACCUCACAUACCUCAUAAAUAUAUACAUCUAUUAUGUACCCACAAAAAUUAAAACAAUAGCAACAAUAAAAAACAAAGAUGAAAUAAAGAUGGUUUUGGAUGAAUGAAAACUAAUAGAAUUCAUCAACAGCAAAUCUACUAUGAAAUAAAAUGCAUAAUUUUUUCAGGUGGAAGGGAAAAGGUACUAGAGGGAAACCUGAAAGAAGAGCAACACAAAUGGUAACAUCCACAUGAAUAUUAUAGACUGUUUUAUGCCCAAGUUUUAAAAAGAUGUAUAAUUGUUAAAAGCAAAAAUUAUAACAUUUUGGAUGGUUGUUUAAUAUACAGAGUUAAUAAGUAUUACAAUUAAAACAUGAAGGGGAAUAUUAAUUCUAAGUAAACUGUGAAAAGUUAAGUAUAUAUAUAGAGAGAGAGAGAGGGAAAGAGAGAGAGAGUAAUCUCUAGAGUAGCCACUGGGAAGAUAUUCAAAAAUGUAAUAGAUAAAAUGGAAUUCUUAAAACAUUCGAAUAAUCCAAAAAGGCACAAACAGUGGAAUUAAAACAGAAGCUACUUACCAUAGGAUAGUAUAUCAUUCUUAGCUAUCUAUUUUAGAGUAAUGAAAAUCUAUAGUCACAAUAAACAUGUACAUGAAUGUUUCUAAAAAUUUUGUUUGUAGUAAUUACUCAAAACUGGAAACAACUCAAAUGUCCUUUGGUAGGUAAAUGGGUUAAAUCUGUAAUUUAUCCAUGUAAUGGAUUACUACUCUGCAAUAAAAAGGAAAAAUUUAUCGAUGCAAUAGCACUGUUGAUUCCCAAAGGUAUUAUACUGAGUGAAAGAAGCAUUUUCAAAAGGUUACAUACUGUAUGAUUCCAUUUAUAUGCCAAUCUAGAAAAGGCAAAACUAUAUAGAAGAUCAGUUUAGUUGGUGUUAUGAGGAAGGGGAAGUUUUAACUACAAAGGGGCAACAAAAAAAAUUGUUUGGUGUGAUUUGGCUGUUUAUAUUCUGAUUAUAGUGAUUGUUACACAAAUCUACCUUUAUGUUAAAACUGUACACCAAAAAAAAAAAAGUUUUGUUGAGAAAAAAACUUAAUUGCCCAAGAUUAUGUGAGUUUUAUGUCAGAAGAAAAGGUAAAUAGUCUUCUGACUGG